rnacentral:rRNA from 1 species
UAUAUGGAGAGUUUGAUCCUGGCUCAGGACGAACGCUGGCGGUAUGCCUAAUACAUGCAAGUCGAGCGGAUGAAGUACCUUCGGGUACGGAUUUAGCGGCGAACGGGUGAGUAACACGUGGGCAACCUGCCCUCAAGUUUGGGAUAACUGCGGGAAACCGCAGCUAAUACCAAAUAAUUAAUAGCACCGCAUGGUGCCAUUAUAAAAGGCUUCGGCCACUUGAGGAUGGGCCCG